GAUGAACGCUGGCGGCGUGCCUAAUACAUGCAAGUCGAGCGAACGGACGAGAAGCUUGCUUCUCUGAUGUUAGCGGCGGACGGGUGAGUAACACGUGGAUAACCUACCCAUAAGACUGGGAUAACUUCGGGAAACCGUAGCUAAUACCGGAUAAUAUUUUGAACCGCAUGGUUCAAAAGUGAAAGACGGUCUUGCUGUCACUUAUAGAUGGAUCCGCGCUGCAUUAGCUAGUUGGUAAGGUAACGGCUUACCAAGGCAACGAUGCAUAGCCGACCUGAGAGGGUGAUCGGCCACACUGGAACUGAGACACGGUCCAGACUCCUACGGGAGGCAGCAGUAGGGAGUCUUCCGCAAUGGGCGAAAGCCUGACGGAGCAACGCCGCGUGAGUGAUGAAGGUCUUCGGAUCGUAAAACUCUGUUAUUAGGGAAGAACAUAUGUGUAAGUAACUGUGCACAUCUUGACGGUACCUAAUCAGAAAGCCACGGCUAACUACGUG
rnacentral:rRNA from 1 species